GAUGAACGCUGGCGGCGUGCUUAACACAUGCAAGUCGAACGGAAAGGCCCAAGCUUGCUUGGGUACUCGAGUGGCGAACGGGUGAGUAACACGUGGGUGAUCUGCCCUGCACUUCGGGAUAAGCCUGGGAAACUGGGUCUAAUACCGGAUAGGACCACUUCUUGGAUGUUGUGGUGGAAAGUUUUUUCGGUGUGGGAUGAGCUCGCGGCCUAUCAGCUUGUUGGUGGGGUAAUGGCCUACCAAGGCGUCGACGGGUAGCCGGCCUGAGAGGGUGUACGGACGCAUUGGAACUGUGAUACGGCCCAGACUACGACGGGAGGCAGCAGUGGGGAAUAUUGCACAAUGGGCGCAAGCCUGAGGCAGCGACGCCGCGUGGGGGAUGACGGCCUUCGGGUUGUAAACACCUUUCGCUAGGGACGAAGCGUUUUUGUGACGGUACCUGGAGAAGAAGCACCGGCUAACUACGUG
rnacentral:rRNA from 1 species